UCUUUCAUGAGUUCUAAGAAUGCAUCAUGCAAUUCAUCAACAGUAAAAUCACAAUCAAGUUCAGAAUCUACCUCAUCGUCAUUGGCCAUAUGACACAUUUGGGCCGUCUCUUGAUGAUCUUCCUCCUCUGAACUUGAUUCCUCACUUUCACUCCAUUCAGCCAUGAAAUUCUUCUUUUUCAACUUUCUUGCCAUCCACUUCAAAUCUGGGCAAUCUAUC
rnacentral:lncRNA from 1 species